rnacentral:pre_miRNA from 1 species
AUAGGAGGAGAGGGUCCUGAGAAGCGUGGACGGUCCCAGGUGGGUCCUGCAGGUCCUCACCCUCUCUAGGCCCCACUCUUGUCU